rnacentral:rRNA from 1 species
AGUGAACGCUGGCGGUAGGCCUAACACAUGCAAGUCGAACGGCAGCACAGUAAGAGCUUGCUCUUACGGGUGGCGAGUGGCGGACGGGUGAGGAAUACAUCGGAAUCUACUUUUUCGUGGGGGAUAACGUAGGGAAACUUGCGCUAAUACCGCAUACGACCUACGGGUGAAAGCAGGGGAUCUUCGGACCUUGCGCGAUUGAAUGAGCCGAUGUCGGAUUAGCUAGUUGGCGGGGUAAAGGCCCACCAAGGCGACGAUCCGUAGCUGGUCUGAGAGGAUGAUCAGCCACACUGGAACUGAGACACGGUCCAGACUCCUACGGGAGGCAGCAGUGGGGAAUAUUGGACAAUGGGCGCAAGCCUGAUCCAGCCAUACCGCGUGGGUGAAGAAGGCCUUCGGGUUGUAAAGCCCUUUUGUUGGGAAAGAAAAGCAGCAGGUUAAUACCCCGCUGUUCUGACGGUACCUAAAGAAUAAGCACCGGCUAACUUCGUG